rnacentral:lncRNA from 1 species
AUGUUUAGGUUAAACAAGAAUUUUUUGCUUUCUUCAAGAUUUCAGUUACCAAAACUUGCAAACAUGAUACUAGAUUAUUUUCUUUUUCUGUCUUGGUCUAGAUACACAUGGAGUUCUCUUUUUGGAAGUUCAAGGAAAAUCCCCAGAGUACAAGACAACCCUCAAACCACUCCCUACGUCUCCACUUGUCUUCUGUUUAUUCAAUCCGUCAUCCAGUUACACAGCAAGUACUUGAGGAUAUGCUUGAUUUACCCUUAUUUAUUUAUUUAUUUAUUUUGA